CUCUGCUCAGCCCUGGGAACAGACAACUAGAGAGGUGACCACAUCUGGAUGUAAUCGAGAGAAUAAAGUAAGGGACAGCGUGUGUAAGAGAGCCUACCCACAAAGGAAACUGAAAGGGAAACUGAAAGAUCCUGUUUUCAUUUGACAUCAUGAUUCCAAGUGCAGUGGUUUCCAGGAAAGCCAAACAUUCUUUAUAACAGCAUCAGACCACCCCACCUCCUUGUACCAUUCAGUGCCGUGGACAAACGGCUGGGGGAAGAGAUCACUGCCAUGCAGCAGGACUGAAGAAGAGGUGCGAGCAGGUAUGAAACACACCUGCAUAAGGGGGCACAACCUCCACACUGACUGAACGUCCAUAACCACGAAAGCCCCCUCUUUAACUCGGUCAAGACAGAGGACAUUCUGGAGCAAAGACCAACAAAGACUGAUCGAGAAAGCACAGGGAGAUCUUCUGCCGCCACUACAGCCUGAUUCACAGGGAUCAUCAUGCGGGCAUCUGCUGUGUUCCUCACAGUGGUCUUCUCUGCAGUAAGAGGAGGUACAGAUCAUGUGACGGUCCAAACAGAGAAAAAGGUUUUCUUGGAGUGUGAGCAAAGUGUCACCCUCUUUUGUAAUAUUUCAACCACACACAAACAUUUUAGCAUUGUAGAUUUUUUUUGGAUGAAUCCCUCACAAGAAAAACUCUGCACACACUCUGGCACCCCAAAAAAAGAAACCUCUGAUCAUUUCCACUGUCAGUACACGGAUCUGCAGCAGUUAGCAUUGACCAUUCAGAGUGCCGGGAGCGAUAAAGGGGGAGUGUAUGUCUGUAAACUAUUUUCAGACCUUGGCCAUGACCUAGCCAACACCACCGUGGGCGUCUCAGCGUGUCCUGAAACGAUAAAGAGGCGGAUUUCUGUCCGGGGUGUGUCCAGCAAAGCCAGCACUUUACAAAGAAAACGGACUUUGUUGCUUUUAUUAGGAGCACUUUUACUUGCUUUUCCAUAAAAGCGACAUUUUUUGGACGGUCGAGGAUCCUGCAGAUGGAUGAUUUUUUCUGCUUCUGUGAAAACACUGGGUUUUUAGGAAUUUUGGGGGAAUUUAGGUUCAAAAGAGGAACUGCUUCCUCAGAAACGUACAGAUUGAAAACUGAUUCCAGUUGUGCCUGGGCUCAAUUGUAGUUUUUUGGUGGGGUUUGUUGUUCUUGUGUGCAAUAUCUCUGGAAUGUAGGAGAGCUGUAAAAAAAAAAAAAAAAUCUGUUCCCAUAAUGUGCAACUUUCUUCUGAGUUAAAUGGGAAUCUCUCCCUGUGAAGCUGGACUAAUGUGAUUCUUUCAUGACUGUAAUCUGAGCAAAGAUGCUGGUAUGAUCAUAUUCACUUUUACUGCAAUUUUAUACACAUUUCUGGGCUUUGAGGUAAAUGAUGUUUUGUAUAUCUCUAUGAAAACACCUCUACACACACCUUCCACAAUAAACAACAGUAUCUGACUGACUCUCAAUCAUUAA